rnacentral:rRNA from 1 species
UAAACGACUCUCGGCAACGGAUAUCUCGGCUCUCGCAUCGAUGAAGAACGUAGCGAAAUGCGAUACUUGGUGUGAAUUGCAGAAUCCCGUGAACCAUCGAGUCUUUGAACGCAAGUUGCGCCCGAAGCCUUCGGGCCGAGGGCACGUCUGCCUGGGCGUCACG